CGUGCUCUCUUUUGCUUUGGUCUAUGCGCAGUCGGUAGGACUGUUUCAAUUCUUUCUGAACCAUGUCAAGCUCCUCUUCAAUUGCUGAGUCAGGGUUUGGACCUCAGCUCUGGCUGCAUGCCGAUGGCCUCCUAAGGCCUUAGAUCUGGUGUUUCUCUCAGUUAGUUC